ACAAUCAAAAAGUCUAACAAAUAAAUAAUACAAAUUUGGGCCCUGCAACUAAAUGAGCCCAAACAAUUUAAUUAAAGUUGUGGGAAAUGUCUUUGAGCCCAAUUCAUUUCCAAAAAUGUGGGUGCAAGCCCAAAGUCUUUUUCUUCUUUUUCCUUCUCCCCUCUUGGCCUAUUCCCUCCACCUCCAUCUUCCAGAAUAAAUUCUGCAAAUCAAAGGUCACACAUUAAUCCACAAGUUCCUUCAUGUAUCCCCUCCCCUACCUCCUCACAAUACACUUUACAUCUUCAAACAAACUUGUGAGAGAGAGAGAGAGCCGAGAGAGAGAGCCGAGAGGUUUCAAGAGGGUGCCUUAUUCUCAUUUCAACACCCAAGUUUACAUCACGAGAUUGACCGUAGAGGAUGGAACGCUUCUUUAAAAAAAAGCGUCGGGAUGAAUUUUCUUCUCCAAGUGAACCCAUUGUUGAAGCAAUGGAAAAUCAGCCCCGAAGAGAAGUUGGGUUGAACUUGAAUGAUAUUGUUGGUGAUCCGGGAAAACGCAAGCCAAUUGAAGAGUUCGAUGUUUCAAUUCGAGAUAGAGUACGAAGAGAGUACUUGAAUAUGGGCCCUUGUCAACCAAUUGGACAUAAGUAUGAAAAAAAGAAAUAUGGUACUCAAGAAAGAAGUUUUCAAGAUAUUUGGUUUAAAAGGUAUACAUGGUUAGAGUAUAGUGUAUCAAAGGAUGCAGCUUUUUGCUUUUGGUGCUACCUUUUCAAGAAAUCAGAUAAAUGGGGUCGACAAUCAGAUGAUGCUUUUACAAAGACAGGUUGUAGCAACUGGAAAAAUGCAUUAGAAAGAUUCAAUUAUCAUGUUGGAGGCGUGAAUAGUUGUCAUAGUAAUGCUAGAAUUCAGUUCGAAGCUUUUCAAGAUCAAAGGAACAGUGUGGCAAGUAUAUUACGGUCAAAUACCCGUGAGAUGGAAGUUGCAUAUCGCAUUCGGUUGACAGUCUCAUUGAAUGUGACUCGGUUUCUCUUAAAGCAAGGAUUGUCUUUUCGUGGACAUGAUGAGUCAAGUAGUUCUUCAAAUCGAGGUAAUUUUAUUGAGUUGCUUCUAUGGUUUAGUGAACUUAACGAUGAUGUAUCCAAAACUUUGUUUGCAAAUGCUCCUGCUAACAACCAAAUGAAUUCACCACGAAUUCAAAAGGAAUUGGCAAACGCUUGUGCUUCAGAGGUUACACUUGCCAUAGUUAAUGAUAUUGGAGAUAAAGUUUUCACUCUUUUGGUUGAUGAGGCUCGAGACGUUUCAAUGAAGGAGCAGAUGGGAGUUGUUUUAAGAUAUGUGAAUAACGAAGGAUAUGUGAUUGAGCGAUUUAUUGGAAUCGUGCAUGUAACUGACACUUCCUCUCAUACUUUGAAAUGUGCUAUUGAUGAUUUAUUGGUGAAGCAUAAUUUAUCUCUAUCUAAAGUGAGAGGGCAAGGAUACGAUGGAGCUUCUAAUAUGAGGGGUGAGUUUAAUGGAUUGAAAUCCUUAAUAUUGCAAGAAAAUCCAUAUGCCAUGUAUAUUCAUUGUUUAUCUCAUCAACUCCAAUUAAUUAUUGUUGCGGUUGCCAAGGGUAUUAGAGUUGUGAAGGAUGUUUUUAGCUAUGUCUCCAUGAUUGUGAAUAUGGUUGGAGCAUCUUGUAAGAGAAAAGACCAACUUAGGCAGUUGCAACAUGACAGAUUAGUUGAACAACUUAAUGAUGGAGAACUCAUAAGUGGAAGAGGUAAAAAUCAAGAAACUAGUUUGGUAAGGCCUGGAGACACUCGUUGGGGCUCACAUUACUUUACAUUGCUUCGUCUAUGCUCUAUGUGGUCUUCGGUUGAGAAAGUGUCGGAAGUUGUACGUGAUGAUGCUACUCUCCGUGAUAACAGAAGUACCACUGAAGGAUUGAUUGAAAGGAUGGAUAACUAUGAGUUUGUUUUCACUUUGCAUUUGAUGAAACAUUAUUGGGAAUAACCAAUGAAUUAUCCAUUGCCUUGCAAAAGAAAGAUCAAAAUAUUAUUCAAGCCAUAUCAUUGAUCCAAAGUGUGAAACAUCAGUUGCAAAGUUUUAGAGAGAAUGGAUGGGAAGACAUACAUGAUCAAGCAACAAAGUUUUGUGAAUUGCAUAAUAUUUCACAAGUUGAUAUGGAUGAAAUUAUACCACGCCGUGGUUAUAAGAAGUAUGGAGCAGAGUUGAUCACGAAUUUGCAUCAUUAUCGUGUAGAGAUUUUUAAUCAGUUAUUUCAUUAUAAGAUGAGGUACAGUGAUUAUAAGAUGAAGUGAUUGAAUGACGGCAGUGUAGAAGCGGCGGCGGUGGCACACUACAUUGGGGUCGAGUUGCGGGUGAAUUUCAUCCCGAGACUGACCUCGAGUCGCUGCCCGAUCUGAUUUCGCGAUAUGGAGUUACAAAAGGAGAGGACCUCUGGAAAUUCAACCUCAGCGGAUUUCUGCAGGGUAACAGAUUCACGGUGCUGCAUUUGGCGGCUAUUGAGAAGCUGAUCUUCAACGGAUCUGACGAUGUGGCGAUUAAGAUCUGGAGGAGGGAGAAGGGGAGUUGCUUCCAUGAAUGCCUGGCGGUGCUGGACGCGCAUCGGAGGUCGGUGAAGUGCCUCGCGGCGGCGCUGGAAGUGGAGAAGAUGGUGAUGAUGGGGUUAUUGUUGUAU